rnacentral:ncRNA from 1 species
UAUAGAGGCGCGGAAAAGAUGAGUAUUUACUGACAGACAGCCAAGUUAUUACGCAGUAUUGAAAGGCAAUUCCGCCGAAGGAUUUUAUGUGGCAUAUAAAAUUCUGAUUGUAUAUCUAAGAGGUAUACAAUUGUCAUCAUACAUUAUUUAUGGUGGAGUGCUAUCGG